AAACGGUGGUAAUGCCGGAUGCUCCAGUUGAUCGCAUGGUCUUCUGGGAAAGCUUUCGCGGUAUGGGAUGGGGUCGCGUCCUAUCAGCUUGACGGCGGGGUAACGGCCCACCGUGGCUUCGACGGGUAGCCGGCCUGAGAGGGCGACCGGCCACAUUGGGACUGAGAUACGGCCCAGACUCCUACGGGAGGCAGCAGUGGGGAAUAUUGCACAAUGGGCGCAAGCCUGAUGCAGCGACGCCGCGUGAGGGAUGGAGGCCUUCGGGUUGUAAACCUCUUUUAUCGGGGAGCAAGCGAGAGUGAGUUUACCCGUUGAAUAAGCACCGGCUAACUACGUGCCAGCAGCCGCGGUAAUACGUAGGGUGCAAGCGUUAUCCGGAAUUAUUGGGCGUAAAGGGCUCGUAGGCGGUUCGUCGCGUCCGGUGUGAAAGUCCAUCGCUUAACGGUGGAUCCGCGCCGGGUACGGGCGGGCUUGAGUGCGGUAGGGGAGACUGGAAUUCCCGGUGUAACGGUGGAAUGUGUAGAUAUCGAAAAAAAACCCCCAACCCC
rnacentral:rRNA from 1 species